GAUUAGCAUGCUAGUUGUACGAGUUGAGACUCGUAGCAGAUAGCUCAGUAACACGUGGCCAACUACCCUAUCGAGCACGAUACUCUCGGGAAACUGAGGCUAAUAGUGCAUACGGCUCGGUGUCUGGAGUGACCCGAGUCAGAAACGCUCAGGCGCGAUAGGAUGUGGCUGCGGCCGAUUAGGUAGACGGUGGGGUAACGGCCCACCGUGCCAAUAAUCGGUACGGGUUGUGAGAGCAAGAGCCCGGAGACGGUAUCUGAGACAAGAUACCGGGCCCUACGGGGCGCAGCAGGCGCGAAACCUUUACACUGCACGCGAGUGCGAUAAGGGGACUCCAAGUGCGAGGGCAUAUAGUCCUCGCUUUUUCCGACCGUAGGAUGGUCGGCGAAUAAGUGCUGGGCAAGACCGGUGCCAGCCGCCGCGGUAAUACCGGCAGCACGAGUGAUGACCGCUAUUAUUGGGCCUAAAGCGUCCGUAGCUGGCCACGCAAGUCCAUCGGGAAAUCUCUCCGCUCAACGGAGAGGCGUCCGGUGGAAACUGUGUGGCUUGGGACCGGAAGAUCCAGAGGGUACGUCUGGGGUAGGAGUGAAAUCCCGUAAUCCGAGACGGACCACCGGUGGCGAAAGCGCUCUGGAAAGACGGAUCCGACGGUGAGGGACGAAAGCUCGGGUCACGAACCGGAUUAGAUACCCGGGUAGUCCGAGCUGUAAACGAUGUCUGCUAGGUGUGACACAGGCUACGAGCCUGUGUUGUGCCGUAGGGAAGCCGUGAAGCAGACCGCCUGGGAAGUACGUCUGCAAGGAUGAAACUUAAGGAUUUGGCGG
rnacentral:rRNA from 1 species